UAUGUAACAAAUCUUUCCCUUUUCUUUCCAAACAGUUAAGUACCCUUUUGUUCUACAAAACAAGUAGCAGUUUGGGGCUCAAGAAGAAAACUCCUCAAAUACAAGAGAUGACUCCUUUAACAACAUCCUGAUCCUAAAAUCGGUUCAACACAUAAACACGGGAGAGGAAGGAGGAAAAAUAAUGGCUACUAAAUACUUACGGGAGAGGGAAAAAACAGACAGACAGAAAGGAGGAAAAAACUGCCAUGAGAAUGUCGUCAGAGGAACACGCACUUGGAACCAGAGUGGCAGCAGAGAUAUUUCUAUAUAGUAAAGAUAAUGCAGACCCAACAACAGAAAUCAUUUGAUUUGAGUUAGAAUACAUCUGCUAGGGCUUUCAUUUUAUAUCAUUAGUAUACAAACCAGCUAAUAUCAUACCAACCCUCAUAAA